UGGUUCUGGCAUCGAUGAAGAACGCAGCGAAAUGCGAUAAGUAAUGUGAAUUGCAGAAUUCAGUGAAUCAUCGAAUCUUUGAACGCACAUUGCGCCCACUAGUAUUCUGGUGGGCAUGCCUGUUCGAGCGUCAUUAAGUCCACUCAAGCUUCAUUGCUUGGAAUUGGGAGACUACUUGACUGUAACUCCUUAAAGACAGCGGCGGAGUCGUGUUAUCCUCUGAGCUUAGUAAUUAUUUCUAGCUUGUGAGUGGUGCAUGCCCCUUGCCGUAAAACACCCAUCUUUUUAUGGUUGACCUCGGAUCAGGUAGGAAUACCCGCUGA
rnacentral:misc_RNA from 1 species